AGGCACACUCUGAUGGGUCUUGGGGGAGACCAAGGGUGCCCUGCUCAAUGUCAGCCCUGACUCUGUGCCACGUGCACUCAGCUCUGCCACGGAGGUGCAUGGCUCUGUAGACGUGGACGGUGAGCUGGGGAGGAAGGUGGUCUUGGAGAGAAAUGCCCCAUGGGGAGCUGAGACCUGUGUGUCAUGGGAUCAUCCUGGAUUUGGCUUAAAAUCCACGUGGCUGUGGAAAUCCCAGGGUGCACCGAGGAUCUGUGGGGGAGCAGGGCCUCAGGGGUGACACCUCAGAGCUCCUGUUUACCUCUUUAGCCACCAGGAAGACAUUAGGACUCCCAGAGGGUGACUCCAGGGGCAGGUGGCUUGGAGGACUGGCCGUGCAAGGAGGCAGCAAAGGGGCGGCCAUCUGCAAGCUGAGGGCAGAGGCCUUGGAGGAAGCAGCCCUGCCAGUGCUGGUAACUAUCUUCAGAGGCCACCUGGGAUGUCAGAAGCUUCCAGGAACCAGGAGGUAGCUGCAUCUCCUGUCCCUUCCCUGAGUCACCUUGCUGGACUCCACAGUGUGGUGCAGACAAGAAGCUGCAGGGGACAACAUGGAAGGAAGCGGGGAUGGAGGAGAUGGAAUGGGAUGGGCUCUGGGCCCGGCCAAGCAGAGCAGGAUAGGGCUGAGAGUCAUCUGAGCACAGGUGGUUCAAAUGGCAGAGAAGCUCCACGCUGGAGCGGGGAAGAGCUUGGGCUUUCCGGCCAGAAAGCGCAGGUUUUGGCCACGGCUCUUCUGCCACUCACUAGAUGUGGGAGUUUGGAGGCGUUACCCGAGCUCUGAGCCUUACUUUCCUCAUCUGAAAAAUGGGAAUAAUGGUAGGGUUAAAUUAAACCAAAUUUGGUCUGAGGAUGCCUCUGCACUUUGAGUCCAACUGCGACCUUAGCAGCAAAUGAACUGCAGGCCUAGCUUAGGAGUGUACUUUUGUAAGAAAUAGCCGAGUCUUAGCCAAUCACAGCAGCUGAGCUUCUAUAAAUCGCAGGUGGCUGCUGAGUAGUCCAUGUUCAAACACGGCAAACCAAGCUGUGACCAAUGAGCUGUCUCUGCAGCUCACUUCCAUUUUCUGUCUAUAAACACUCCCUGCCCACACUGUGGAGUGGAGCUCAGCCCUUGGAACCUCUUCUGGUCUGAGGGCUGCCCACUUCAUGAAUCCUUUGCUUAAUUAAACU
ensembl:lncRNA novel transcript